rnacentral:rRNA from 1 species
GACGAACGCUGGCGGCGUGCUUAACACAUGCAAGUCGAACGAGGCCCCACCUUCGGGUGGGUGUUCUAGUGGCGAACGGGUGAGUAACACGUGGGCAACCUGCCCCCGGCUCUGGGAUAACCCCAAGAAAUUGGGGCUAAUACCGGAUAUGACCGCUGACCGCAUGGUCUGGUGGUGGAAAGUUUUUCGGCUGGGGAUGGGCCCGCGGCCUAUCAGCUUGUUGGUGGGGUAGUGGCCUACCAAGGCGACGACGGGUAGCCGGCCUGAGAGGGUGACCGGACACACUGGGACUGAGACACGGCCCAGACUCCUACGGGAGGCAGCAGUGGGGAAUAUUGCGCAAUGGGCGGAAGCCUGACGCAGCGACGCCGCGUGGGGGAUGACGGCCUUCGGGUUGUAAACCUCUUUCAGCAGGGACGAAGCCGCAAGGUGACGGUACCUGCAGAAGAAGCACCGGCCAACUACGUGCCAGCCGCCGCAGUAAUAC